UACGGAGGGUGCAAGCGUUAUCCGGAUUUACUGGGUUUAAAGGGUGCGUAGGCGGGCUUUUAAGUCAGUGGUGAAAGCUUCGAGCUUAACUCGAAAAUUGCCAUUGAUACUAUUAGUCUUGAAUUCAGUUGAGGUCGGCGGAAUGUGUCGUGUAGAGGUGAAAUUCUUAGAUAUGACACAGAACACCAAUUGCGAAGGCAGCUGGCUAAUCUGACAUUGACGCUGAGGCACGAAAGCGUGGGGAUCAAACAGG
rnacentral:rRNA from 1 species